GAAACUGCGAAUGGCUCAUUAUAUAAGUUAUCGUUUAUUUGAUAGUACCUUACUACUUGGAUAACCGUGGUAAUUCUAGAGCUAAUACAUGCUAAAAAUCCCGACUUCGGAAGGGAUGUAUUUAUUAGAUUAAAAACCAAUGCCCUCUGGGCUCCUUGGUGAUUCAUAAUAACUUUUCGAAUCGCAUGGCCUUGCGCCGGCGAUGGUUCAUUCAAAUUUCUUCCCUAUCAACUUUCGAUGUUUGGGUAUUGGCCAAACAUGGUCGCAACGGGUAACGGAGGGUUAGGGCUCGACCCCGGAGAAGGAGCCUGAGAAACGGCUACUACAUCCAAGGAAGGCAGCAGGCGCGCAAAUUACCCAAUCCCGAUUCGGGGAGGUAGUGACAAUAAAUACUGAUACAGGGCUCUUUUGGGUCUUGUAAUUGGAAUGAGUACAAUUUAAAUCCCUUAACGAGGAACAAUUGGAGGGCAAGUCUGGUGCCAGCAGCCGCGGUAAUUCCAGCUCCAAUAGCGUAUAUUAAAGUUGUUGUGGUUAAAAAGCUCGUAGUUGAACCUUGGGCCUGGCUGGCCGGUCCGCCUCACCGCGUGUACUGGUCCGGCCGGGCCUUUCCCUCUGUGGAACCUCAUGCCCUUCACUGGGUGUGGCGGGGAAACAGGACUUUUACUUUGAAAAAAUUAGAGUGCUCCAGGCAGGCCUAUGCUCGAAUACAUUAGCAUGGAAUAAUGAAAUAGGACGUGUGGUUCUAUUUUGUUGGUUUCUAGGACCGCCGUAAUGAUUAAUAGGGACAGUCGGGGGCAUCAGUAUUCAAUUGUCAGAGGUGAAAUUCUUGGAUUUAUUGAAGACUAACUACUGCGAAAGCAUUUGCCAAGGAUGUUUUCAUUAAUCAGGAACGAAAGUUAGGGGAUCGAAGACGAUCAGAUACCGUCGUAGUCUUAACCAUAAACUAUGCCGACUAGGGAUCGGACGAUGUUAUUUUUUGACGCGUUCGGCACCUUACGAGAAAUCAAAGUGC
rnacentral:rRNA from 1 species